AAACUUGAUUGAUGUAAGUGGUGGUUUGGAGACAGAAUCCUCUAAUGGAAAAGAUACACUAGAAGGUGCUGGGGAUACUUCAGAGGUGAUGGAUACUCAGGUGGAUGAAGAGAAUGGUCGGCAGCUGGGAGAGGUAGAGCGGCAGUGUGGGAUAUGUACCAAGUGGUUCACUGCAGAUACAUUUGGCAUAGAUACCUCAUCCUGUCUUCCUUUCAUGACCAACUACAGUUUUCAUUGCAAUGUAUGCCAUCAUAGCGGGUACACCUAUUUCCUCCGGAAGCGAGCAAACUUGAAAGAAAUGUGCCUUAGUGCUUUGGCUAACCUAACAUGGCAGUCCAGAACACAGGAUGAACAUCCGAAAACCAUGUUCUCCAAAGAUAAGGAUAUUAUACCACUUAUUGAUAAAUACUGGGAAUGCAUGACCACCAGAAAGAGACCUGGGAAAAUGACUUGGCUAAAUAACAUUGUUAAAACAAUGAGUAAAGAAAGAUGUAUUCUUGGUAAAGGAACACCCUGAUCCUGGGAGUAAAGACCCGGAAGAAGAUUACCCCAAAUUUGGACUUUUAGAUCAGGACCUUAGUAACAUUGGUCCUGCUUAUGACAACCAAAAACAAAGCAGUGCUGUGUCUACCAGUGGGAAUCUAAAUGGGGGAAUUGCCACAGGAAGCAACAGGAAAGGAAGAGGAGCUAAGCGCAAGCAGCAGGAUGGCGGGACCACAGGGACCACCAAAAAGGCCCGAAGUGACCCUUUGUUUUCUGCUCAACGCCUUCCCCCUCAUGGCUACCCCUUGGAACACCCAUUUAAUAAAGAUGGCUAUCAGUAUAUUUUAGCUGAGCCUGAUCCCCACGCCCCUGACCCUGAGAAGCUUGAACUUGACUGCUGGGCGGGAAGACCUAUUCCUGGAGACCUCGACAGAGCCUGCUUGUGUGAACCGGUUUUGUUAGCCCUACAUGAUCGAGCUCCUCAGCU